AGCUGGUCAAUGAUGAUGUAUCCUUAUCUGCGUUAUCUUUCUGAAAAUCCUUUUUGAAGGAAUUGAAGAUGACUAUGAUACACUGAGAUCUCU
rnacentral:snoRNA from 1 species